rnacentral:rRNA from 1 species
CCUACGGGAGGCAGCAGUGGGGAAUAUUGCACAAUGGGGGAAACCCUGAUGCAGCGACGCCGCGUGAGCGAUGAAGUAUUUCGGUAUGUAAAGCUCUAUCAGCAGGGAAGAAAAUGACGGUACCUGACCAAGAAGCCCCGGCGAACUACGGGCUAGCAGACGCGGCAAUACGUAGGGUGCAAGAGUAACCCGGAUUUACGGGGUGUAAAGGGAGCGUGGACGGUCCUGCAGGCCAGAUGUGAAAGCCCGGGGCUCAACCUCGGGACUGCAUUUGGAACUGUAAGGCUAGAGUGUCGGAGAGGCAGGCGGAAUUCCUGGUGUAGCGGUGGAAUGCGUAGAUAUUAGGAGGAACACCAGUGGCGAAGGCGGCCUGCUGGACGAUGACUGACGUUGAGGCUCGAAAGCGUGGGGAGCAAACAGGAUUAGAUACCCUUGUAGUC